UACGAAGGGUGCAAGCGUUACUCGGAAUUACUGGGCGUAAAGCGUGCGUAGGUGGUUCGUUAAGUCUGAUGUGAAAGCCCUGGGCUCAACCUGGGAAUGGCAUUGGAUACUGGCGACCUAGAGUGCGGUAGAGGGGUGUGGAAUUCCCGGUGUAGCAGUGAAAUGCGUAGAUAUCGGGAGGAACACCAGUGGCGAAGGCGACUACCUGGCCCAUUCUUGACGCUGAGGCGCGAAAGCUAGGGGAGCGAACGGG
rnacentral:rRNA from 1 species